rnacentral:rRNA from 1 species
CAGUAGCCACGGGAAUACGAAGGGGGCUAGCGUUGCUCGGAAUCACUGGGCGUAAAGGGUGCGUAGGCGGGUCUUUAAGUCAGGGGUGAAAUCCUGGAGCUCAACUCCAGAACUGCCUUUGAUACUGAAGAUCUUGAGUUCGGGAGAGGUGAGUGGAACUGCGAGUGUAGAGGUGAAAUUCGUAGAUAUUCGCAAGAACGCCAGUGGCGAAGGCGGCUUACUGGCUCGAAACUGACGCUGAGGCGCGAAAGCGUGGGGAGCAAAUAGGAUUAGAUACCCCUGUAGUCCCUGUCUCUUAUAC